UUGCAAGUUCCAGCAAGUUGUAGAUUAUACAAUAUCUUUCAACUUUCUUGAGACUUGCUAUAAUAAGAUUGAGGAUGUUUGACCUUCAUAAUCUCUUGGUGGGUUAUGGAGGGUUAGGAAUUCUCUAACAUAU
rnacentral:snoRNA from 1 species